AUAACAACUAAUUUUUAAUUUAAAUAUUAUUUUUAUUUUAAUUGAUCCCUUAAAUAAAAAGAUAAAUUACAAUAAUGUAGCCAAAUCACUUAGAAUUGUCUAUAAGACCGUGAAGUUUUGAAUUCAAACCAAGCUAAGUUCAUUAAAAAAGAUAAAUUACAACAAAUUACAAAAAUAUGUGAGAAAUCCUUUUUUUUUUAAAUAAAUAAAUAGACUUUGAAUUUUGAGAAAAAUAUAAUUUUUAUUUUUUCCAUUACAUUUUAGUUUUCAUAUUUUACAUAACAUUACUUUAUAGCCUCUCAACUUUAGGAUAAAAUACCAUUUUAAUCUGUCUUUUAACUUUUUCAAGGAUGAAUGAGCAAUUCAAUUUGAAAACUAAAUAAU
rnacentral:misc_RNA from 1 species